CUCCGCUUAGCUCAGCUGGAAGUAGCGUAUGACUGUAAUUGGAAGCGUUCCGAAUAUCAUAAGGUCGCCUGUUCGAUCCAGGCAGCGGAGA